GUUAUAUGACUUAUUAGCAUCUUAUGAACAAGCCAUAAAUCAAAGGGAUGACAGAGGGGAAUGAAAUAGCUCGGGAGUUAGGAAUUAUAGAAAUUAUGUUGUUUUUGGUUAAUGUGAAUAUGAAACCAAUUCUAUCACAAUGAAGAGUUUGAAAGGUUGCACUGUCUUAAAUUGAGAACUUAAAGAUUUUACCUUUCUUCUUAAUGUCCAUAGUCUAUAGUAUUACUUUAAACAAGGUUAGAAUUAUUAUAGUAGAGUUACUAAGGGGGCUUUUGGUUCUCUGUUCUCACAGUGGUAUAAGUUUGGAAUUAGGAAUGAAAUCUAGGUGGUAUGAGGUUGGAACUUAAUACUUAAUAUCAUCUGUUUGGUUUUGCUUAGAAUGAACAAUUUUCUUUUAUUUGAUACCCGAAGACAUGGUAUGAACCAUGCUCACCUCCCCUCUUGGGCUUUUAAGCCCCAUAACUCGUGGGUUUGAGGUAUGGGUUUGAAAAUUGUAAUUUUUUUAAACAAACACGAGGUAUGGGUUUUACACUUUUACCCAUCAUAAACCCAUAUCUCAUACCUAAAUUACUUGAACCAAACGCCCCUUAAAGAGUUUUUUAGACACAUGAAUCAUGUAAGUGAUAUGAACACUAACUUAGUGACUUUUCAAUAACAUUAUCUUCAAGGGCCAGAAUAUGUAUUGUCUUCUCUGCUGCAAAGAGUUUGUUUUGCUUCAGCAGCCGGGUACACCCCUUAGGAAGCCCACUUACAAGCUACAAGCUUAAACUAGGAGAAGAGAUAUAGCUUUAUUAUACCUGCAUUACUAAGCUAGACACUCUUUUUUGCAUAUGCAGGGUAUUCAUUGUUCAUUGGUUUAAUGUCACAAAUCUGCAAAAACAUGCCCCACAUCAUAGUCUUUGGAUCCCACAGAAGGCCCUUAGAGUUCAAUGGGAAACUUGAUCUUCAAACUAACAAACUUUUGCAGUCACCAAAAGCAGUGCAUGACCAGUAUAUACUCAAGUGCCUACAUGAUCACUUCAUGGACCUGAUUUUCUUUCGUUCAAUGUACUCGACUGGUCAUCCUAGAGUCGUUAACUAUAAAUAAAAAGGCCAAGAAUUGAUCAUUUUGGUUGUGAAAUGUCUGACUUUCUCCAGUGACUUCUAAUAUGUGAAUGUGGCUAAUUGAAAGACAAUUCUUCUGUAUUGCAGUCUUGUCAGUUUUUUAAAAUCUAGAAAUUGAGCAUGUUGAAGAGCUGACUUUGGUGCACAUGAUUGAUGAUGGUGAUGUUGGGGACCGAGGAGAGCAAUUUAUAAGUUGAAAUUGAUGAGCAUCUCAAAAUUGGAGAUACCUCCUAGGGGCCUUGACUGUUUCACAGAGUUGCAGCACUUCAAGAGUUAUCUAUUUAUUUUCUUUAUAAUUGGAGAUCUCUGCCAAAAUGCAUUGGUUGACCUACCCAACUUUGUGAGCUUGUCAUUUGGUAUUGGCCCAGUCUAAAAAUACUUCUUGAAAUACUUGGUAGCUUCUCCAAUUUACAUUAUUUUGAGAUAGGAAAAUGUCCAAAGGUAUCGACGUAUGGAGAAUCUUGCCACAUAUGUCAAUUAUUCGGUUCAACCCUGAUUUCAACUGAGGACUGUAACUUCCUUUUAUUCAUCACAUUAACUAAAGCUUCUCUUGGGUGACGGUUACAUUUAUGCAAACUUCUGUUGUUCAAGGUUCCUUUUACCUAUCAAUUUAUGCUUUUGUGUUAUUGAAGCAAACUCAGAAGCAGAGCCUGCCUUGUCUGAUAUAUCAUAUUAGGUACUCUGCCAGCAAGAGGCCCUUGUUUAACGACAGCCGAACCCGGUGCUGGAAAUCCUAGAGCUGUUAGAGAAGCAAGCAGAGGAACAACCCC